AACGAACGCUGGCGGCAGGCUUAACACAUGCAAGUCGAACGAGCUGAGGGCUUCGGUCCUCGAUGCUAGUGGCGAACGGGUGAGGAACACGUGAAGAAUCUGCCCUCCACUUUGGGAUAACACCGGGAAACCGGUGCUAAUACCGAAUAUUGAAACAUAAGUGGCAUCACUGAGUUUUGAAAGAAUUUCGGUGGAGGAUGACUUCGCGGCCUAUCAGCUAGUUGGUGAGGUAAUGGCUCACCAAGGCAAC
rnacentral:rRNA from 1 species